UGCAGUUGGCCUCUUCUUCUUCUUCUUCUUCUUCUUCUUCUUCUUCUUCUUCGCUUAGAGAGAAAAAGAUGGUAUUCCAAAAUGAAAAGAAAAUGAAAAUACUAUGCCUGCAUGGAUUUAGAACCAGUGGAAGUUUUCUGAAGAAGCAAAUUAGCAAAUGGGAUCCUUCUAUUUUCCAUCAAUUUGACCUUGAUUUCCCAGAUGGAAUUUUCCCUGCUAAAGGCAAAUCUGACAUAGAAGGCAUCUUCCCACCACCCUACUUUGAGUGGUUCCAGUACAAUGAGGACUUCACAGAGUAUACAAAUCUUGAAGAAUGCAUCUCUUAUUUGUGUGAAUACAUCACAAGCAAUGGCUCUUUUGAUGGUUUGCUUGGCUUCUCUCAGGCAUGUACUUUGCUUUCUUUUGAUACCACUGAAAAGUAUUUUUCAAACUCUAAUACUAUUGAAUUAGAACUCAUUGUCAAUGAAUUGUUGCCAAUUUGUCCAAUUGACAUCUCAUCAACAGUUUAAUUCAAUAGUUAAGAAAAAAAAAUUAGAUGGCAUAUGAGCUCAAGUUUUUUAUGCCACUAGUGAAUAUUUACAUGAAUUUUAAGCAUAAGACAAAUGCAAAGAAUUUGUUUUCUGUUUGUUCAGGGAGCAACACUCUCAGCUCUGUUGAUUGGCUACCAAAUUCAGGGAAAAGUGUUGAAGGAACUUCCACCUUUGAAAUUAUUUGUAUCAAUAUCAGGGACAAAGUUCAGAGAUCCAAGCAUAUGUCAAGUUGCUUACAAGGACACUAUCAAGGUUAAGUCCGUUCAUUUUAUAGGAGCCAAGGACUGGUUGAGAUUGCCUUCUGAGGACCUUGCCACUGCCUUUGAUAACCCUCUUAUCAUAAGGCACCCACAAGGCCACACUGUCCCAAGACUUGAUGAGGAAUCUACUGAGAAGCUACGUGCAUGGGCGACAGAGAUCAUCCAAUGCAACAACAGAAUUUUGGAGAAAGAAGAAAUUAAGGUGGAUGAGGAAAAGAAGCAAGAAAGGCCUGAUAAGAUAGACAACCAAGAGCAGACUACUGUUCUAGUUUGAACCUAUGAACUUACAAUGGAGCAACUAUUUGCUGCAAAACUACCCUCUAUGCUUUCCAUUAUAUGCUAUGCUACCUAUUUUGGGAAUGUAAAUCAUAGCUUUGAGCUAUUUUGCCCUCCCUUGGUAAAGAUAUAAAUAAAUAAUAAAAAUAAGAGAGAAAGAAGAAGAUUGAAUGAA